CGGCGGACGGGUGAGUAAUGCCUAGGAAUCUGCCUGGUAGUGGGGGACAACGUUUCGAAAGGAACGCUAAUACCGCAUACGUCCUACGGGAGAAAGCNGGGGACCUUCGGGCCUUGCGCUAUCAGAUGAGCCUAGGUCGGAUUAGCUAGUUGGUGAGGUAAUGGCUCACCAAGGCGACGAUCCGUAACUGGUCUGAGAGGAUGAUCAGUCACACUGGAACUGAGACACGGUCCAGACUCCUACGGGAGGCAGCAGAU
rnacentral:rRNA from 1 species